GACGAACGCUGGCGGCGUGCCUAAUACAUGCAAGUAGAACGCACAGUUUAUAGCGUUUCUUGCUACACUAUAGACUGGGAGUUGGGAACGUGUGAUUAACGCGUAGGUAACCUGCCUGGGAGCGGCUGAUAACUAUGGUAGAUGAUAGCUAAUACCGCAGAAUAUUGAUUAUUGCAGGAUAAUUGAUUUAAAGAUACUAUAUCAUCACUGCUAGAUGUAGCUGCGUUGUAUUAGCUAGUAUGUGAGGUAAAGGCUCACCUAGGCGACGGUACAUAGCCGACCUGAGAGGGUGAACGGCCACCAUUGGAAUGAGACACGGCCCAGAAUUCUACGGGAGGCAGCAGUAGGGGAACUUCGGAAAUGGACGGAAGUCUGAACGCGCCACGCCGGGGGAGUGAAGAAGGUUUUCGGAUCGUAAAGCUAUGUUGUACGAGAAGAAAGGGUGUGAGAGUGGAACGUUCACCCUGUGACGGUAUCUUAACAGAAAGGGACGGCUAACUACGUG
rnacentral:rRNA from 1 species